CAGUUUAGCAUCCUGGUCUCAUGGCAGGAGGAGGAGAGCAGUGCAAUUUGGGCCUGAAGCCAGCAUAACCAGCCAUGAAAACAAUCACCCAAGGGGACCACGUGUCCCAGAAUCUAGAACAAAAUUCAGAGGAUUCCACCCACAUCUGAAGCCACACAUCACAUCCAUCAUUCCUCCAGAAGAGGAGGUCUGAACAGCAACACGCUCCAUGCAAAACGAAGGAUACUGCAGCUGGGAUCGGAACUCACCCUGGGAUCUGAGCAGGCUGAGUGCUUUCAGGCUCAUGCAUCAUCAGCUCUGUGACCGAGAUGACAUUUCCGGCAAUCUCCUUGAAAAACCUUAUUGAAUUAAGUUUAACUAUC